rnacentral:tRNA from 1 species
ACUAGCAUGGCAUAGCGGUUUGAGUGCUGGACUAUGACUCUGGAGACCAGGGUUCGAUUCCUGGCUUGGCU